rnacentral:rRNA from 1 species
UUCUUUAAGCACCUAAUUUAAAGUAAGCCCUGCUCAAUGUUAUUUUUAUAAAUAGCCGCAGUCACCUGUGCUAAGGUAGCAUAAUAAAUUGCUUCAUAAUUGGAAGAUAGAAUGAAAGGGUAAACGAUCUAAAACUGUUUCAAUUAAAACAAUUAACUUAUCUUUUAAGUAAAAAGACUUAAAUAUAAUAAUAAGACGAUAAGACCCUAACAAACUUAUCAUUUAGUUGGGGCAACAAAUUAAAAACACUUUAAUUAAAAAAAUUACACAACCUGUAAUAAGAUACAGACCAGUUACUGUAGGGAUAACAGCGCAAUGUUUCUUUAGAGCCCUUAUCAAAAGAAAAGCUUACGACCUCGAUGUUGAAUUAAUUAGUCUAAAUAGGCGCAGAAGCCAUAUAAGAAAGUCUGUUCGACUUAUAAUAAAUU